AACUUGACUAAACUCAAAACCCCCACUUUUGUCAGAUCUGAAAAACAUUACUGCUCCUAUCUACAAAGGAGCACCCUCGUUAUCUUAUAGGAAGUUGACUCUCUGCUACCUCAAUUAGAAAAAACCCUGAGAAGUUAAGCAAGUUGCUGAAGGUCACACUGUUCAACAGUGGUGAAGGCUUAUGCAAGGAUAAAACAAGGCAGAGAAUAGAACAGAGAUCUCACUGAAGUUCCAGUUGAGGAAGUCAAAGAGUCAAGUACAGUUCAUAAGGAAAAGGAUCCACUUAUCAAUACCUCGCUUAAGUGUCCCUUCAAUCAAUUAACAGCACAUAAAGGCAGCUCUCAAGGACUCACGUUGAGAGCAGAAAAAGAGGGGAUCUAAUAUUUCAUGGAAGAAAGGCUGCUGGU